rnacentral:rRNA from 1 species
UGAGGAAUAUUGGUCAAUGGGCGCAAGCCUGAACCAGCCAUCCCGCGUGAAGGAUGAAGGUCCUAUGGAUUGUAAACUUCUUUUCUGUGCAAAGAAAUUGCUCUACGUGUAGGGUAUUGACGGUAGUACAGGAAUAAGGAUCGGCUAACUCCGUGCCAGCAGCCGCGGUAAUACGGAGGAUCCAAGCGUUAUCCGGAUUUAUUGGGUUUAAAGGGUGCGUAGGCGGACCUGUAAGUCAGUGGUGAAAUCCUGCAGCUUAACUGUAGAACUGCCAUUGAUACUGCUGGUCUUGAGUAUAGUUGAGGUAGGCGGAAUGAGUAGUGUAGCGGUGAAAUGCUUAGAUAUUACUCAGAACACCGAUUGCGAAGGCAGCUUACUAAGCUAUUACUGACGCUGAUGCACGAAAGCGUGGGGAUCGAACA